rnacentral:rRNA from 1 species
AGAGUUAAAUAGUACGUGAAAUUGUUGAAAGGGAAACGAUUGAAGCCAGUCGUACUGGCGGGCAAUCAGCCUUUUGGGUAUGAUUAUGUGGGGCUUGAGGAGUUAAUCACCCUCAUCUUUGCAUAUUUGUGCACUUUGGGUGUACUUGCUCGUGUGGUAGGUUAACAUCAAUUUCGGACGUCAUAAAAUGACGGGAGGAAUGUAGCUUCGGUCUCGGCUGAAGUGUUAUAGCCUUUGGUAGAUGUGGCGAUCGAGACUGAGGAUUGCAACGGAUACCCUUCGGGGCUACCCGUCUGAUCUCUGAGAGUUACUCUGGUGCUGAAAGCGUGCUUACGGUAUCAAAGUUGACGUUCAAUAGGUUAGAACGGGUUAAAUUCGUUAAGGAUGUUGACGUAAUGGCUUUAAACGACC